rnacentral:misc_RNA from 1 species
AGUGAUUAUUGAUUGUAUGUAGUGAUGUUUGGUCUUGGGCGUGAGGGGGUGUGAUAGGGUUAAUGUGCCCUUUAUAUGGUCUUGGACAAUCCUCUCCCAAUGAGCUAGUUUUUAGAGAUGAGUUAGGCCCGGCCUAUUUUUUUAAGACUCACUUGUAAUGAAUAUUUGGCUCCUUUCAUACCGAGUGAGGUGAAAGAUAGGCUUCUCUGUUUUUUUUUUGUAUCUAUUUCUUUUGUUUGUGCGUGAAAAUAAGUUAUUGGUUUAAUGUGAUAGUGUAUAGUUUUACACUCAUGGAAGGGGAUGCUCCAGGAUGAUGUGAUCUUCUAAUGCAUAUAUUUAGAGGAAAUGAGGAGGUUUAGAAAUCAGAGGUUUCUUUGCCAACAAAUGGUGAAUUUUUGGAUUUAUUGAAAGUUUGUUAACUUGUUUGGAUGUAUGCAAUCAAGCCUUCUGAUAAGUGUUGGUUUCUACUUUCUAAAUGGUGGAAUUAAGUCCAUCUCCAGUAACAAGAAGGUGUUUAUAACUGUAGUGUGAUUUCUUUCUUGUCACAUUUAUCAUCAGAAAUAAAAGUGCUGGAAGCUGACAUGCUACAUCUGCCCUUUAGCAACGGGUGUUUUGAUGUUGUUAUUGAGAAAGGAACCAUGGUAAACAGAGAAGCAAGAUUGACAUUUUCUCUUUAUGGUCUUUUUCUGUUCUUAUUUUAUCGUAACUAUGUUUUCCUGGGACUUUAUAUACAAACUUUUUAACAAGUAUGCAUAUUUAUUCAUUCGAUUUUUACCCUGUACUUUCAAGGAUGUGCUGUUUGUUAACAGUGGUGACCCGUGGAAUCCAAGGCCUGCAACUGUAACCCAGGUCAAGGCAAUGCUUGAUGGUGUUCACAGGGUUCUGAAACCAAAUGGCAUUUUCAUCUCAAUUUCCUUUGGCCAGCCACACUUCAGGCGCCCUUUAUUUGAUGCUCAAGAAUAUACAUGGUCUAUUGAAUGGAGCACCUUUGGUGAUGGGUUCCAUUAUUUUUUCUAUGUCUUGAGGAAGGGAAAGAGAUCACUGGAUGAUAAAGCAUCCUGUGAAAAAAAGAUUGAGGUACCACCCAUUUGUCUCCUUCAAGAAGAAUUAGAGAGUGAAGAUUACAUUUUCCGAACAAGGAUAGGUGAUGAUUCCUAGAAAUAAUUGCAACUUAUGUUUGCUGAUUCUUUUGUUGCAAUAUUAGAGAGCGAAGAUUAAAUUUUCCCAACUAGCAUUGAUGAUGAUUACUAGAAAUGGUUGUAACUUAGAGAGAUUGCAUAUAUAGAUGUUUCAUGGUUCUGUAGCUAUUGAAGAUGAGUUUGUUUUUGGGCUUGAUGGUCGCGGUGGUGGGGAAGAUGAUCCCGGGAUUUAUAUAUUUGAAUCGGCAAUCUUUGGAAUUGUAUUUAGUAUUCCAUGCAGGCUUUUGAUCAAUUACAAAACCCAGU